AGAACCUUGUCAGUUCAUAAAUUUAAGGCAACUCCAUUUCCUUUGCUUUUGAACAAUCCAAACUGGAUGGUGGAUAUACAUUGGAACAAUCAGAAAGCAUUCCAGACAGCUUAUUAUGAUGCAUAACAUUUGGCCAACAUAAAUUCAAAGUCGAGCAAAUGAAGGCAAAAAGGCAGAAGGGAAGAGUGAAAAUGGACCCAGCAAUAGGGCUAAGCAUGUCUGCCCCACUCGUCUACCUGCUUACCACGGGUGAACCUCAGGUGAGAUGUUGACCACAGGAUUCACCACAGAAUUCACUCUCCAGAAGACAAAAACUGCUGUGGAGAUUUAUCUUAAAAUAAAUCUCCACAAUAAAUAAAUAAAUAAAUAAAUUGCAAUAAAUAAAUUGCUGUGGAAAAUUUAUCUUAAAAUAUUAAGGUCAGACAAGAACCUCUGUCAAGGAACAGGAAGUCAGGCCCUGAGGAGAUAAGUAGAGGCUGUAGCCAUGGGUGGCUUUGGGGUAGUAGCUGUUGGCUGUGCCUAGAAGGACAUCAUGAAAGUUGUAAGUGCUGCUAAUUGACGUCCCCCAAUUCAUAUGCAGAAGUCCUGGCCCCCAGUACCUCAGGAUGUGCUUGGUUUUGGAGCCGGGGUCUUUAAAGAGUUUUGCAACCACAAAGGGCCCAGAGUUUCCCUUGUGAAUGAGCUCAGCAUCCUCACGUUUCCAAGAGGAAUGAACACUGCAAUUCCUCGGACUACGGUGGCUCGCUUCCCAGCACACCCUUGCUGUGACCUGCACCCCUGCAUUGUCCUCAAAGACACACUAAGAAAACACAUUUCAGAAGGAAGGACCUAACAGAGCCCAGGAUCCAGUUCUGCGUUUGGUGUGGCCCCAAAGACACUGUGUGCAGAGUCAGAAAUAUGGUUCCCAGUUGGACUCCAUGGGAUACUGUUUCAAAAGAGCUAUCAUUCUUGUCUGUUUACCACAUAUCUUGUUGUAAUACGCUCUUCUUUUCCAGAAUUUUUUAUUUUCCCUGGCAUUUUGUGUUUUGGUAAUUGCCUACAAGAAUAGUUCUAUAACAUAAAUCAACAAUGAAAACCAAAUUACCCCUGCCCACAUCCUUUCAUUCCUUUUUCAUCUCUAAUGAUAUUUUCUGUAUGAUGACUAACCCAGACUGACGUAAUUUAUCAAUUGAUCUUGACGAUGUACAUUAGAAAAUGCGUUCUGCAGGCCCCAGCAGGCCAUCUUCCAUGUGUGCCACGUAGCUUUAGAAAACCUAUUAGUGCAACAGAAAUAUCUAAAGCCCAGCCUUUUUGCUAAGAAUAUUAGAACCGGUGCUAAUUACUUUAUUAAUCAUAAAGUGAAACAGCAGUACUAUGUCACCACAGCUGUAAAAUAAGUGGUUUUAUGGCAAAAGUAGUUAAAGAGAAAGGACAGAUUGGAUUUAUAAUACUCAGCUGGUUAAAAAAAAGAAAUUAUGCAUACCAGCAAUUUUCUUUCUUUGGUUAAAUGUUCAUUAAAUGUGUACCACUAAAAACCAUUUGUAACUAAUUCCCUAGUGGGUCCAUGCCCUAAAAGAAUUUAUUUUAAAAUACAAAUUAAGGCUUAAAUUUGCCUUUUUAUUAAAAAUAGGUAUAAUGAGUCAACAUAUCUCCUGAGAGAAAGGAGAGUUGCAGACAUGCUGAUGAGAGGAAUCUUGUCGCCAAAACCUGGAGGCCAUGCUGAUGUUGGGGACUUAGGCUAUGCUGCAGGUGCCUGUCACCAUUAAGGGCGGUAGAAUUCAGAGGCUUUGGUCCAGGUUAAAGCCCAGAGGCGGCCACUGUCUGAAGACAGGGACACCACAGUGACCAUCAUUGAGGGCGAUGUUUACACUUCCAUUGUUAGGUUAGAUAUUUUGUUUUCUUUAAAGUCAGUAUUGUCUCUGAGUAAAUAAAAAUAAUCUCCAGUUUCUGC
rnacentral:lncRNA from 1 species